AGGAACAUGCUGUUUGCUUCACUAUAUCCCGCCCGACUUCAUUUCCUUAAAACCCUAAUCUUCAAAUUUUCCUCUUCUUCUACGCUUUCUGCUCUCGAUCUUCCCAGGAACAAUGAGUCGGUCGAGUAGGACACUUUAUGUUGGCAAUCUUCCUGGUGAUGUUCGUGAGCGUGAAGUGGAAGAUCUCUUUUACAAGUAUGGACCGAUUGCACAUAUUGAGCUGAAAAUUCCACCAAGACCCCCUGGUUAUGCUUUUGUUGAGUUUGAAGAGGCUCGUGAUGCUGAAGAUGCUAUUCGUGGUCGUGAUGGCUAUGAUUUUGAUGGGCACCGUCUGCGGGUUGAGCUUGCACAUGGUGGGCGUGGUAACUCAUCAUCAAAUGAUCGUUAUGGUGGUGGCGGUGGCGGCCGUGGUCAGCGUGGUGGAGGAGUGUCAAGACGUUCCGAUUAUCGAGUGUUAGUUACAGGAUUACCCCAUUCAGCAUCGUGGCAGGAUCUCAAGGAUCACAUGCGCCGUGCUGGGGAUGUUUGUUUCUCCCAAGUUUUCCGUGACGGGAGUGGAACCACUGGUAUAAUUGAUUAUACAAACUAUGAUGACAUGAAAUAUGCUAUCAAAAAGCUUGAUGACUCUGAGUUUCGGAAUGCCUUUUCUCGUGCGACAAUUCGAGUUAAGGAAUAUGACCGCAGUCGAAGUCGCAGCCGCAGUCGCAGUCGCAGCCGCUCCUACUCCAGAGGGAAGAGUGUUAGUCGAAGCCGUAGCCGUAGCCGAAGUAGAAGUCGAAGCAAGAGCAAAAGCAAAUCUCCUAAAGUUAAGUCUUCAAAGCGCUCAAGAUCUCGUUCAAGGUCUGUGUCUUCUCAGUCUCGUUCUGGGUCAAAAGGACGUCCUGUCUCAAGAUUUUGGAUAUGUGCGGCGGUUUGUGGAUUUGGAUAUUAGGAUCUUGAGUGGAUAAUGGUCUUGCCUGCAACUCUUUUUGUUGUGGAGAUUGGGAUCAUGAAGAUCAUGGAUUCUAUGGUGGAGCUGGACUGGGGAACCAACUGCCACCUGAAUUUGGAUCACCACCUAUUUUUUGGUAGAAGCAUGUUCUAACAAAGCGAAAUAAAGACUAGUUCAUUCUUUUGGUAUCCUGCUAAUUGGUCUCUUUGACUGCUCGAAUUUAAAAUAUUACAUAGUCUCAAUGGUGUAACGUGCAUUGUUUUAUACUUGCCAUAUUUUCCACUCUGGAUUCUGCCAAAUUGCUACUUUCAUUAUGGUCAUGCUGAGGUGGAAGUGAAAUCAAAGCAGUUGUGGAGGAAACUUGUUAAGUGGCGGGACUGGGAUAUUAAAUUAAGUUCUUUCUGGAAAUUUUGCAGAUCUCCAUCAAGGUCCAGAUCACCAGCACCAGCUCGUUCAAAACAAUUAAGUGAAAGUCCCAAAAGACGCACUCCCAGCAGUAGCCCCAAAAGACGCACUCCAAGCAGAAGCCCAAGCCGGAGUAGGAGCCGUAGCCGAAGUUUGUCCAGGUAAGAUUGCUGGAAUCAUCAGUGAUUGAGGGUGCCAUCAUGCUGUGUUUGAGCAGCCUGGUCCACAGUUGGGAGUCUAAGUGCCCGGAAGAGUCUGUUGCUCUGCUUACAUCAAAAUAUUUCUGUGUCAUUGAACCAUGUCAAGACUGUAAUAAUUAUUAUGCUUAUUUUUGUAGCUCUUAAUCUUGGUAAAAGACUGCAAUAUAGUAGAUGAUAUUGUGAAAAAACGGAAUUUAAUUUCCUUGAAUUGCAGAUUAUUGUUGGUCGACUGA